rnacentral:rRNA from 1 species
GGGCCCGCACAAGCGGUGGAGUAUGUGGUUUAAUUCGAUGCAACGCGAAGAACCUUACCAGGGUUUGACAUCCUGCGAAUCUCUUGGAAACGAGAGAGUGCCUUCGGGAACGCAGUGACAGGUGGUGCAUGGCUGUCGUCAGCUCGUGUCGUGAGAUGUUGGGUUAAGUCCCGCAACGAGCGCAACCCACGUCGUUAGUUGCCAGCACAUUAUGGUGGGAACUCUAAGGAGACUGCCGGUGACAAACCGGAGGAAGGUGGGGAUGACGUCAAAUCAUCACGGCCCUUACGUCCUGGCUACACACGUGCUACAAUGGCCGGUACAGAGAGCAGCCACUACGCGAGUAGGCGCG